UAAUACGGAGGGUGCAAGCGUUAUCCGGAUUCACUGGGUUUAAAGGGUGCGUAGGUGGGUUGGUAAGUCCGUGGUGAAAUCCCCAAGCUUAACUUGGGAACUGCCGUGGAUACUAUCAAUCUUGAAUAUCGUUGAGGUAAGCGGAAUAUGUCAUGUAGCGGUGAAAUGCUUAGAUAUGACAUAGAACACCGAUAGCGGAGGCAGCUUACUAAGCGAUCAUUGACACUGAGGCACGAAAGCGUGGGGAGCAAACAGGAUUAGAUACCCUGGUAGUCCACGCCCUAAACGAUGAUUACUCGACAUACGCGAUACACAGUGUGUGUCUGAGCGAAAGCAUUAAGUAAUCCACCUGGGAAGUACGAUCGCAAGAUUG
rnacentral:rRNA from 1 species